rnacentral:rRNA from 1 species
CAGUCGAACGAAAAGACGGAAAGAGCUUGCUCUUUUCAGAAUUGAGUGGCAAACGGGUGAGUAACACGUAAACAACCUGCCUUCAGGAUGGGGACAACAGACGGAAACGACUGCUAAUACCGAAUAAGUUCCAAGAGCCGCAUGGCCCAUGGAAGAAAAGGUGGCCUCUACCUGUAAGCUAUCGCCUGAAGAGGGGUUUGCGUCUGAUUAGCUGGUUGGAGGGGUAACGGCCCACCAAGGCGACGAUCAGUAGCCGGUCUGAGAGGAUGAACGGCCACACUGGAACUGAGACACGGUCCAGACUCCUACGGGAGGCAGCAGUGGGGAAUCUUCCGCAAUGGGCGAAAGCCUGACGGAGCAACGCCGCGUGAGUGAUGACGGCCUUCGGGUUGUAAAACUCUGUGAUCCGGGACGAAAAGGCAGAGUGCGAAGAACAAACUGCAUUGACGGUACCGGAAAAGCAAGCCACGGCUAACUACGUGCCAGCAGCCGCGGUAAUACGUAGGUGGCAAGCGUUGUCCGGAAUUAUUGGGCGUAAAGCGCGCGCAGGCGGCUUCCCAAGUCCCUCUUAAAAGUGCAGGGCUUAACCCCGUGAUGGGAAGGAAACUGGGAAGCUGGAGUAUCGGAGAGGAAAGUGGAAUUCCUAGUGUAGCGGUGAAAUGCGUAGAGAUUAGGAAGAACACCGGUGGCGAAGGCGACUUUCUGGACGAAAACUGACGCUGAGGCGCGAAAGCGUGGGGAGCAAACAGGAUUAGAUACCCUGGUAGU